CAGAUGAGGACUUUCCCAUCCCAAUAAUAAGAAGGAAGAAAGGAUAAAGAAGAGGCAACAUGCACCAAAAGUUGCCCAAUGUCACUUCUGCUUACAUCUUAUUGGCUGGAAUUUACUAAUAUGGCCACAUCUAGCUCUCAAGGAAGACUGAGAAAUGUAGUCUUUAUGCCAGCAUCCACAGGUCCAGCUAAAAUUUCUGGCAUUAGGGGAAAAAGUGAUAUCAGAGAAGAGCUGCUAAGUGGUACAACUGGGAUAAGAACCCAGCGCUGAGGGACUCCAGAGACCCUACUCCGUCAAGAACAGGUUUUAUCGCCUCCUCUGGAAGAGAGAACGCGGAGCCAUCAACCUUCUCCGAUAAGAGUUGCGAGUUUUUCUUCUUGUGACAGUCAUGUCUCUGCCUCCUUAAAACCCCUCUUGAAAAGCCUGUCGAAGGAAGUGUCUCCAAAAAGGCAAAAAAAGAAAAAAAGGAAGGAGGACUACUGAAGUAAAAUUAAGCUUCAAGGAAACUGAAACUUCCAGAAAACUGAAGAUAUGCUCUAAAGGCAGUAAUAAAAAAAUUUUCUUAAUGACUAUAGACAAGUAAGUCAAUGAUGUAGAAGACAAACUCGAGAAGGAAUGCAGACUACAUAAAAUGAUGUGAGUAGAGAUGUAUGAUGUGGAAAACAAAGAAUGAAAAUGUAGCAUUAGAACGAAAGGCACAAAAUACCCGCACUCAGACAUUUCACAGUGGCCAGAUUACAUCCUAACAGCCUCAAAUGGGAAACCCAAAUAUCCAUCCUGAAUGAAAUGGAUACAGAAAUUGAAGUAUACUGACAUACAAUGGAUACUCAUGCCAUGUAUGAAUGAAAACGUAUGAAUUCAGACAGAGGUAAAUUUAAAGAUUAAGACAGCAGCAUCGUAAGAUUAGUCAGUCAAUAGGAUUAAGAAGAUGGUUUUCACAAAAUUAGAAUUGGUAAACCUAAUAAACUUUUACAUGAUACACUCUGAAAGUGCAAGGUAUCGCUAAUAGGGGCACCUGGGUAGCUUCGUUGGUUAAGCGUCAGGUUCCUGAUCCCGGCUCAGGUCACGAUCUUGCAGUUCAUGAAACUGAGCCCCAUGGGGGGUUCUGAGCUGAUAGCACAGAGCCCGCUUGGAAUUCUCUCUCUCCAUCUCUGUACCUCUCCCGCUCGUGCUCUCUCUCACUCUCUUUCUUCCUCCCUCUCUGCCCCUG